UGGUUGUCGUCAGCUCGUGCCGUGAGGUGUCGGCUUAAGUGCCAUAACGAGCGCAACCCUUGUUGUCAGUUACUAACAGGUUCCGCUGAGGACUCUGACAAGACUGCCAUCGUAAGAUGUGAGGAAGGUGGGGAUGACGUCAAAUCAGCACGGCCCUUACGUCCGGGGCUACACACGUGUUACAAUGGGGGGUACAGAGGGCCGCUACCACGCGAGUGGAUGCCAAUCCCAAAAACCUCUCUCAGUUCGGACUGGAGUCUGCAACCCGACUCCACGAAGCUGGAUUCGCUAGUAAUCGCGCAUCAGCCACGGCGCGGUGAAUACGUUCCCGGGCCUUGUACACACCGCCCGUCAAGCCAUGGGAGCCGGGGGUACCUGAAGUGCGUAACCGCGAGGAGCGCCCUAGGGUAAAACUGGUGACUGGGGCUAAGUCGUAACAAGGUAGCCGUACCGGAAGGUGCGGCUGGAUCACCUC
rnacentral:rRNA from 1 species